rnacentral:rRNA from 1 species
CUACGGGUCGCUCCAGUGAGGAAUUUUGCGCAAUGGGGGAAACCCUGACGCAGCAACGCCGCGUGAGCGAAGAAGGCCCUCGGGUCGUAAAGCUCUGUCAAGUGGGAAAAAAAUUUUUUGAUCAAUAGUCAAAAGACUUGAUGGUACCACUGGAGGAAGCACCGGCUAACUCCGUGCCAGCAGCCGCGGUAAUACGGAGGGUGCGAGCGUUGUUCGGAUUUACUGGGCGUAAAGAGCGUGUAGGCGGUUUAGCAAGUCAGAUGUGAAAGCCCUGGGCUCAACCCGGGAAGUGCAUUUGAAACUGCUUCACUAGAGUAUGGGAGAGGAGAUUGGAAUUCCUGGUGUAGAGGUGAAAUUCGUAGAUAUCAGGAGGAACACCCGUGGCGAAGGCGAUUCUCUGGACCAAUACUGACGCUGAGACGCGAAAGCGUGGGGAGCAAACAGGAUUAGAUACCCCAGUAGUC